AGUGAACGCUGGCGGCGUGCUUAACACAUGCAAGUCGAACGAGAACGGGAUUUAGCUUGCUAAAUCUGUCAGCUAAGUGGCGCACGGGUGAGUAAUAUAUAGUUAACCUGCCUCUAAGAAGGGAAUAAUUGCUGGAAACGGCUUGUAAUGCCCUAUAUGCCUUUAAGACAUAAGUCUGCAAGGGAAACGCUUUUGUGCUUAGAGAUGGGACUGUACAGUAUCAGCUAGUUGGUGAGGUAAUGGCUCACCAAGGCUAUGACGCUUAACUGGUUUGAGAGGAUGAUCAGUCACACUGGAACUGAGACACGGUCCAGACUCCUACGGGAGGCAGCAGUGGGGAAUAUUGCACAAUGGGGGAAACCCUGAUGCAGCAACGCCGCGUGGAGGAUGACGGCCCUAUGGGUUGUAAACUUCUUUUAUAUGGGAAGAAACUUAUCUACGUGUAGAUAACUGACGGUACCAUACGAAUAAGGAUCGGCUAACUCCG
rnacentral:rRNA from 1 species